CUUGGGGUCAGAGCCCCAGACAUGUCGCUUCUAUGAUGAGCUGCGUGCCAUUCUAGGGGGUGCAGCCACCACUACUCAACCCCUGUGCUUUUACUCCAUCAAUGGAUUAUCAUGCAACAGGGAUGCACGUUUUGGGGUUGAGGAAGAAGAGGAGGUGGUUGUGCACAGCAAGCAAGCGGAGAGACCGUUAUCCCUGAGAGCCAGGAACUGUUUCUUACCCUGCACCUGGAGCCAGUACCCCCCGAACCCACCCAAGGCGGGCUCCCAGACUCGCCAGGCAGAGAAGAGACCACUGCUGCAAAUGUAUCAACGCUCACACUAUCAUCUAGCGAAGAUUAGAAGGCAAAAAAAAUGUACUCUGAGCUCAUGCAGUCCUCCCACACUGAAAAAUUCUAGUAGAAUGCGUGAAGGCAAGCAAUGUCAGAGUCCAGGAAAGCACAAUAUGAAUGCGAUGAUAGGUGGCGGGUUAAAGGUGAUAGGUGGCGUCAGCUUGCUGACAGAAGGCAGGAGGCAAUGUUGAGACUACUGGAGGAUAAAACUGAUAUGCUCUGGCGUAUGGUUGAGCUGCAGGAAAGGCAGGAGCACAGACUGCCACUACAGCCCCUGUGUAACCAACUGCCCUCCUCCCCAAGUUCCAUAGCCUCCUCACCCAGAUGCCCAAGAACACGGUGGGGGCGCCUCCGGGCACCCAAGCACUCCACCCCAGAGGACUGCACAAGCAACAGAAAGCUGGCAUUCAAUAAGUUUUAAAGUGCAGUGUGGCCUUGUCCUUCCCUCCUCCCCAACCCCACCCAGGCUACAUUUGGCAGUUAUACCCCUUAUUUGUGUGAUGAAUUAAUAAAAAAUGCAUGAAUGUGAAACAACAA